GAGCAAGCUGUCGUUAGUUGCAUGUGUUCGCGGCUCGGGUCAGCCUUCCACGAGCUCCUGAAGUUCUGCCAUUCCCCGUGGUCUGUAGUUCAGGAAGCUUCUGGAACAUACGGCGCCUCUGCCAUGGAAACACGAUCCGCGUCAUCAGCUUCAGAUGUGAUCUUGGAACGCUGAGUUCGCCUUGGCAGCUGUCCGAAAGUUAAUCCUGUGAAGGGACCUGAAGCAGCCCUCUGAGCCCUCGCUCACUCCUGCCUAAGAACAUCGCAGUAUGUUCAUUCCUCUUCCGCUGGCCUCGAGAUCCAAGCAGGAAAGAAGAGGGAAGAACUCUGAAGGACAUGAGAGAGACCCAGCUUACAGUCCAGGGUUCCCAGACUGCCCUAUGAGAAUAAAAUAGGAGGCCAGAACCAAAGUCUUUUGGAUAAAACACCGUGACUGACCACACACUAACCCAUUUGGCUGCCCUCCUUCCCAAGGCACGGAUCAUCCCAGCAUGUGAAGGCCUCCUUCUCUCCCUCCCUCCCUCCCUUCUGACCCAUUUUCACUCUUCCACCACACAAUCAAAUUAAAUAAAUAAAUGGAAAAAAA
rnacentral:lncRNA from 1 species